rnacentral:rRNA from 1 species
GACGAACGCUGGCGGCGUGCUUAACACAUGCAAGUCGAACGGAAAGGCCCUGCUUUUGUGGGGUGCUCUAGUGGCGAACGGGUGCGUAACACGUGAGUAACCUGCCCUUGACUUUGGGAUAACUUCAGGAAACUGGGGCUAAUACCGGAUAGGAGCUCCUGCUGCCUGGUGUGGGUUGGAAAGUUUCGGCGGUUGGGUAUGGACUCGCGGCUUAUCAGCUUGUUGGUGGGGUAAUGACUUACCAAGGCUUUGCCGGGUAGCCAGCCUGAGAGGGAGACCGGCCACAUUGGAACUGAGAUACGGCCCAGACGCCUACGGGAGGCAACAGUGGGGAAUAUUGCACAAUGGGCGGAAGCCUGAUGCAGCAACGCCGCGUGCGGGAUGACGGCCUUCGGGUUGUAAACCGCUUUCGCCUGUGACGAGGCGUGGGUGACGGUAAUGGGUAAAGAAGCACCGGCUAACUACGU